UUCAAAUCACAUUCCAUAUUUGGUUAUAAAAUUUCACUUUAUUUUGCAUCCAAAACUCUUUAUUAUAAUAUGUAAAAUACAAAUUACAUGUAAAAUGUAUCAUUGUUAAAUAUGGUUAAAAUAAUUCAGUGGUUUCUAUAAUCACAUUGGCUCACAUGGGGUAAUGAUUAUAAACAUAACAUUUCUUUUUUAAAUAUGAAAAUUUCACUUUCUUUCCCUUUAAAUUCUCCUUGCAACCAAAUGGAGCCUUAAAUUGUAGCUUUCAAAGAAAUAGUAAAAAGACCAUUAAGAAAUUUGAGCCUUUUGGAUAGGCAUUCUUAAGACUUGGUGGUGCACAUACUUUCUUUUAGGUGCUUAUAUAAUUAUUUUGCAAGACAUGGUGCAGAGUCAUAAGACUAUAAUCAUGGUUCUACUUGAGCCACCAUCGAUCUUGGACAAAGCCGCCCGAAUAGCUUUGGCAUCCAUUUGAUUAUCAUCCGUCAUCAAAAUUUCUUAGCAUGCUAUGUUUGUUCUAUUGUCUUCAGUAGCAUGAUGGUUGUUGACAAAUAUGUUCUCAUGAACCUGCAUUUAUUUUUUUCCUCUUUAGAGUUAUUAAAUCAAGUGACUCACAUUUCCUUCUCCUUGAUUUUUGUGUACCUUCUAUUCUACAGACCAAAUUGGGUCUUACACCUGAAGAAGUCAUUUAAAAAAUUAUGGCCAACCCUGAAGUUGCUAUGGCGUUUCAAAAUCCAGGAGUGCAAGCUGCCAUCAUGGAUUGUUCACAGAAUCCUCUGAGUAUAGCUAAAUAUCAAAAUGAAAAGGAGGUUAUGAAUGUUUUCAACAAAAUAGCAGAACUGUUACCCGGGGCGACAGGUUCACCUUGAUUUCCCCAGUUCUUCCAGACCGAGUAUACCUGCCCUACUUCUGCAUUUCCAUGUGCCGAGGUGCAUUUUUCUCCCAUGACACCAGGUGUUAAAAGAAAUGUGCACAUUUCAUAUUGUUUCUGGAUGUUCUGAUGAAGGUGGCUUCUGCAUUUGCUGAUCCUCCUUGGUUUCUAAAAUGUAUUUAUGCACCAAGUCUUGGUUGUGUAGUUGAUUGCACCACCUGGUAGCAGUGCUAAAGGUGUACUGUGUAUCUCAUUUGAAAAUCAAACAGAUGCAUCCAUCUUACUGUCUUAGUCUGUACUAUAGUCUAUGCUUCAACUUUUUCUGUGAUUGUGAUAGCACAAGUUUUUCUAAUUUGUGUUUGCAUUCGACAAUCCAUGUGAACAGCCAUUUGUUUGUAUUACAAAUCCUUCUGUUAAAAGUUCACCUCAUGUCAUGCUUUACAUUUGAGCUAA